AUGAAGAGCGUCAGCCUCCUCGGCGUCUACAGGGAGAAGGCGACCAGUCCGAUCGAGGCCGCUGCGAUGCUGCCAUCAGACGUGGCCGCGGCGCCAGAGGGAGUGACCAGUACGACGGCGGAGACCAAGGCCAGCCAGAACAAGGCAGCGUCGGUGCACAUAGACCAGGAGGCGACCAGCUCGCUCCUGGACUCUCUCCUCGCCCUGGACGAAAGCCUCGACAACUUGGAUAGCCUGCUCACCCAGCACAUCUCCAACAUAGAUCAAGUCUGCAAUUCGGCCUUGUACUGGCCGGACAACUACUACGACGCCUGGAUCCCUUUCGAAAAUAAACUACGACGCCUGGCUGGCCGGCUAGAAGUCUGGAGUUCAGGAUUCUCCACUUGGUUGAAUUUACAGAAACUCAAAGCUGUAUCUAGGAGCUCGUAA
rnacentral:rRNA from 1 species